GUGCUUGCUUCGGCAGCAGAUAUACUAAAAUUGGAACAAUACAGAGAAGAUUAGCGUGGCCCUUGCGCAAGGAUGACAUGCAAAAAUCAAAUGUAAGCCGGGGAGAA
ensembl:snRNA U6 U6 spliceosomal RNA